rnacentral:rRNA from 1 species
UACGAAGGGGCAAGCGUUGUUCGGAAUUACUGGGCGUAAAGGGCGCGUAGGCGGCUUAUCAAGUCAGGCGUGAAAUUCCCGGGCUCAACCUGGGGCUGCGCUUGAUACUGAUUGGCUUGAAUGCGGGAGAGGAUAGUGGAAUUCCAGUGUAGAGGUGAAAUUCGUAGAUAUUGGGAAGAACGACCGGUGGCGAAGGCGGCAUCUGGCCCGUAAUUGACGCUGAGGCGCGAAAGCUAGGGAGCGAACGAGGA